CCAGCAGCUGCGGUAAUUCCAGCUCUAAUAGCGUAUAUUAAAGUUGUUGCAGUUAAAAAGCUCGUAGUCGGAAUUCGGGUUCGGGCAGGCUUCUGACCUCUGGGAAGAUGGCAGGCUCGGAUCUUUCUGCCUUGUUUCUAUUUCGCACUUAACUGUUCGGAGUAGGGAUUAGGCCGUUUACUUUGAAAAAAUUAGAGUGUUCAAAGCAGGCCAACGCUUGAAUACAUUAGCAUGGAAUAAUAAUAUAGGACUUCGGUUCUAUUUUAUUGGUUCUGGACCGAAGUAAUGAUUAAUAGGGACAGUCGGGGGCAUUCGUACUCAACAGUCAGAGGUGAAAUUCUUGGAUUUGUUGGAGACGAACUACUGCGAAAGCAUUUGCCAAGGAGGUUUUCAUUGAUCAAGAACGAAAGU
rnacentral:rRNA from 1 species